rnacentral:rRNA from 1 species
GCUAUAAACCUAGCCCAACUAAACACGAAUACUUCUAGCAAUACUGGCUUCUUUUAAUAAACCAUUUUAAUAUUUUAGUAAAGGAGAUUGAAAAACCUAUUGGAGCUAUAACAACAGUACCGCAAGGGAACAGUGAAAUACAAAAUGAAAAUCUUAAGCAAUAAAAAGUAAAGACUACCCCCUGUACCUUUUGCAUCAUGGUUUAACUAGUCUAAUCAAGCAAAGCGUAUUUAAGUUUGACCCCCCGAAACUAAGUGAGCUACUUCAGGGCAGCUAAAAGAGCGAACCCGUCUCUGUAGCAAAAGAGUGGGACGACCCUCAAGUAGUGGUGACAGACCUAACGAACUUAGUGAUAGCUGGUUACUCAAGAAGCGGAUAUAAGUCCAACCUGAACCACAUAACCCUAAGUUUACCAAAACAACUCCUCAUCUUUCAGCGUAAUUCGAAUAAGGUACAGCCUAUUUGAAACAGGACACAACCUAAACUAACGGAUAAGAUUAGCCCGACCAACAAUCAAGUCGGCCUAAAAGCAGCCAUCUUUAAAAUUGCGUCAAAGCUUAAUUGUUCCAACGCCUAAUUACCUAAUUAACAUCUUAAUCCCCAAUCAAUACUGAGUAAUUCUAUAACAUUAUAGAAAAUUUUAUGUUAAAACUAGUAACAAGAAGAAGGCCCUUCUCUUAAAUGUUAGUGUUAAUCAGAAAGGACAAACCACUGAUACUUAACAUUCUUGAACCAAAAGUAGCAACUAACCAAGAAAACUCUACCAAAAUCAAUGUCAACCUAACACAAGCACAUUUUAAGAAAGAUUAAAAGAAAAAGAAGGAACUCGGCAAAUAUUAACCCCGCCUGUUUACCAAAAACAUCGCCUCUUGAACCUAAUAGGAGGUCCAGCCUGCCCAGUGACUCUGUUCAACGGCCGCGGUAUCCUAACCGUGCGAAGGUAGCGUAAUCACUUGUUCUUUAAAUGAGGACUAGUAUGAAUGGCACCACGAAGGUUAUACUGUCUCCUUUUUUUAAUCAGUGAAACUAAUCUCCCCGUGAAGAAGCGGGGAUAAGACUAUAAGACGAGAAGACCCUAUGGAGCUUUAAACAAUAUAGCACUUACCACACAACACAAUUUUUAAAUUAAACUUCUUGGGUAACAUGACUAUAAGUUUUUGGUUGGGGUGACCACGGAGCAUAACACAACCUCCACGUUGAAGAAAUUUUAUUUUAAGCUAAGAACCACCUAUCUAAGCAUCAAUAUCUUGACAUCCAUUGACCCAAUACUUUUGAGCAACGAACCAAGUUACCCUAGGGAUAACAGCGCAAUCCACUUUAAGAGCCCAUAUCGACAAGUGGGUUUACGACCUCGAUGUUGGAUCAGGGUCUCCAAGUGGUGCAGCCGCUACUA